rnacentral:tRNA from 1 species
GCUCCCUUCGUCUAGUGGUAAGGACUCCGGCCUCUCACGCCGGCAACAGGGGUUCGAAUCCCCUAGGGAGCG